rnacentral:lncRNA from 1 species
CGUGGGCCUCAGGAUCUACCCUAGAAUCUCAGGGGGGCUCAAGGCCUUCCCCAGAAUUUCAAUUAGUUUGGAAAUGUCCACAUGGUCUUCAUGGUUCUUGGAAUUUUUCCCAGUGUUUAGACGAGGUUCAAAACUUCAACAAGAGAUUCAUUAAUUUUAUUCAUUGUUGUCUCAAUGGAGUUCAAAAUAUCUACAGAUCUGUAGGAAUGAAAAAGGCCCUUCUUUAGGUAGACAGUUGUGUGCAUAACAUUCCCAAGAGUCUUAGUGGUCUCCUUGCCUUCCAGGCUCUCAGUGCAGAUCAGCAGUUUUCACAAUUUCACCAUGUGCUCAAGGGCUUCCAAAGGGUCUCAAUAGAUCUCUUUGCCUUUUGUAGGUGAACACUGAGAUUCAAAGCCAACCUCAGAGCCUCCUAUUAUUUCAGGGUCUUUUACAGGUUGUCCAUGAUGCUCAGUACUCUUUUCAGAGUCCCAGUAAUACUCAGUGCUUCUUUCAGCCUUGGAGCAAGGCUCUGAAUCUUCAAAAAACAAAACAAAACAAAACAAAAAACACUGGGUUCAGCACAUUCAGGGAUUCUCAAUUAAUUCUCAAGGCCUUUCCCAGGUUCUCUGUGGCACUAAUGCCAUUUUCAGCCUCACAAUGGUGCUAAGCACCUUCCCCCAAUUUUGAUUGUGUGCCAGGGUCUUCCCAAGAAUUGUAAUAAGGCCUAGGGCCUACUCUACUAUUUCAGUGGAUUGAAGAACUCUGUACAAUAUCUGGUGGUGCUCAGAUUCUUCCACAGUAUUCUGAGAAAGUAAUGGCCUUCCCUAGUCUCACUGGGAAACAGAGCUUUGCACAAUGUGGCAAGGUAACACAUAGAUAUUCUCAUUGUCAUAGUGGUGCUCAGGCACUCCCUACUCUGUCAGUGACACUCAAGGCUACCUCAUGUAUCUUAGUGUAAGUUCAGGGCUUUCUCCAAGGUCUCAGUCUGGCUCAGUACUUUCCCCCAAUAACUUGCAAAGGCUCAGGGAAUUCUCUGGGGGUUUUGUUAAGAUCUCAGGUAUGAUUAGGUCUCUGAUUCUUCCCCAGAUCUUCUGUGAGGUGAAAGGCCUUCAUUAGAUUUAAGUAAAGUUCAAGGCAUCCAUAUGGUCCAAGUGGAGUUGUGGAUCUUCCCCAGGGUCUCCUUGUGGCUCAGUCUUUCUCCAUCUCAACAAUAGUUUGUGGCUUUUCCACAUUCUUUUGUGCCUCAGUGCCUUCCACAGUGUAUCUUUAGUUCUGAGGACACUCUCAAGUAUUUCAUGUUACUGUUACCGCUUUUGACCGGUGACGAGUCCUUCCUUCCCCAAUGUUGAAGAAUAACCCCAGAGAAGCACGCCGAGGCAAGGUCAGAGUGGAAAAUUAGAAGUUUAUUAAAGGAUAGCAGAAAAGACUUCUCCCAGAGGAAGAAGGGGACCCAAGAGAUGGAAUCUGUUGAAGGGCAGAUGUUUUCCCCUUUUUAUGGAAUGUAGGUGGGAAGACCUGAGGGGUGGGACACAGGUGGGCCAAAGAAGUAAUCUGGGCAGGAAGGACUUCUGAGGCAGCAUCUUCAAGUUUGCUGUUCAUUAUCACUUCUUUGGGAUGGGCUAUCUUCAAAUCUGCUGGGGGCUGUUUCCUGGACUUCAUUAACAUUUCAAGAGUUGCUCAACUUUUCUGGGAAUUCAUUCUCAUGGCCUCCAUUUUAGAUCUCACUCGAUAUUAGACCCGAUUUACCUAACUACACUGACUGCCUAAUUUUAAAUCUGGCUUCAUUACUCAGGCCUCUCCACUGAAUUUCAGAGGUGUUCAGAUUUUUCCCAUGAGUUUGUGUGAUUCAAAGGUCUCCAAAGUGUCUCUUGGCAUUUGGGCCUUCACUGGUUUCUAAGUGGUUCUCAGGGCUUCUCCCAGUGUAUCACUGGAAUUUGGGGCUUUUGCAGGUCACUAAGGAGGCUCAUGGACACUGAUACUGAUUAGUUAGAUUGUGGGUCCUUGCCCAGGGUUUCAGUGGGUUUCCAGCCUUGGAGCAAGGCUCUGAAUCUUUAAAAAAAAAAAAAAACACUGGGUUCAGCACCUCAGGGCUUCUCAAUGAAUUCCAAGGCCAGUCUCACACUCAUGCUCUAGGUAUUCCUCCAGAGUUUUAUUGUUCUCCUUUCCUUCCUCAUGCAUUCAGUUAAGCUCUUGGACAUUCCAAGCAUCUGGAUAUUCUCUGGGUUUUCAAAGAGCCUAAGGCUUUGCCCAGAGCCUCAGUGAACUCAUGACCAUUACCAGGCUCUCCGUUUCUCUCAGGGCCUUUUGGAGUGUUUCAGCAAUGUUCUGUGCUUUUCCCAGAGUCUCACCAGGGCUUUGAUAGUUCCUCAAAGACAAACUGUGUUCAGAGUUUUUGCCAGGAUCUCAGUAAAUCUCAGCAUUUUUCCCAUGUUCUCAGUGGAGUUCAUUGACAUCCCCAUUGUCACAGCAUUGCUCAUGGCUAGCCCAGUGUCUUACUGAACUCAUGACAUUCCCCAAAGUCCCAGUUGUUCCCUUUGCCUUCUGCACAAUCUAGUGUGUCAUUGCCUACCCAGGAACUAAGUGAAACUAUAGUCUUCCCAGGUUACACUGAUUAUUUAGGCUUACCAUAGCAUCUUAUUGACACUCCGGGUACUUGAGUGGUUCAGGGUCUUUCCCAGUGGGGCUCAGGGACUACCCUAGUGUCACAGUAAGGCUCAAGGCUUUUCCCAGAAUUUGAGUCUUGUUUAGAAAUACCCACAUAUUCUUCAUGGUGCUUGGAAUAUUGCCCAAUGUUUAGAAGGCUCAAAGUUCUACAAGUGUUUCAUAUUCAUUAAUUUUAUUCACUGUUGUCUCACUGGUAUUCAAAAUAUUCUUCAGAUUCUUAAGAAGGUGAAGAGCCCUUCAUUACAUUGACACAGAUAUGCGCAUGACAUUCCAAAGAGUCUUAGUGUUCUCAUUGCCUUCACAGGCUCAGUUAAGUUCACCAUUUUUCACAAUUUUACCAUGUGCUCAUAGUCUUCCCAAAGAUCUCAGUAGGUCUCAUUGUCUUUUCAGGGAAACACUGAAUUUCACAGCCAAUCUCAGUGUCUUCUAUUAUUUCAAGGUCUUUUACAGGUUGCUUUUCUGAGGCUUAGUGCUAUUCUCAGAGUCUCAGUCAUCACUGAGUCAUCAGUGCUUCUUCUAGCCUUGGAGCCAGGCUCUGAAUCUUCCAAAGGAAAUGCUGGAUUCAGUGUCAUUUAGGAUCUCAGUGAAUCAGGAAAUGCCCUGGGUUUCUGUGGAGCUAAGUGCCAUUCCCAGCAUGACAGUGGUGCUCGGUCUCUUCUGCAGUGUUUGAUUGUUAGGGCCUACCCGCAGUCUUUGAAAACAUGGGAAACUUCCUUAGUAACACCAAGAAUCUUGGAAUAUGCAAAAGCUCAACUCAAUGCAUGAGGAUAAAAAGGAGAACACUAAGACAUCGAGGGAACCCUCUAAGCAUGACUGUGAGCCUUGAGAAGACCAUGAAACCCACUGAGACCCUGAGCAAAAACCCACAACCAUUGAAUCAGUACCAGAGUUCAUGAGCCUUCUUAGUGACCUGCAAAAUCCCUGAAUUCUGGUUGGGAAAGCCCUGAACAUCAAUUAUUCACCAGUGAAGGCCCUGAAUUCCAAGAGACAAUUUUGGAGGCCUUUGAAUCACACAAACUCAUGUGAAGAAUCAGAACACCUCUGAAAUUCUAUGGGCAACCCUGAGUCAAUAUGAAAUUCUAGAGAUUGUCCUGUGAACUAAAGAUGGCAUGGAGGCCCACAAAAGAACAUGGGGAAGCCAUGAGCUUCACUGUUGAGCUGGAAAAGCACAGAGACACGAGGAGACCCUGGGAAAGAUCCACAACUGGGCUGGGAUGUAGCUCAGUGGCAAAGCGUCUGCCUUGCAUUCGCAAAGCCCUGGGUUCGACCCCCAGUUCCAAAAAAGACAAAAAAAAGAACCCCACCAAAAAAAAAAAAAUAAGAUUUAAAAAAAAAAAAAGAUCCACAACUCCACUUGGACCCUGGUGGAUGCCCCAAAUUCCACUGUAAAUCUUGACACAUUUAGCCUCACUGAAGCUCUGGGGCAAAAUCUGAGACCCAUUCAUACUUGAGAUCUCAAAAAAGACCCUAACUAAUUCCCUGAGCCUCUAUAAGCCUUUGGGGAGAGCUCUGAGCCACACUGAUACCCUGGAGAAAGCCCUGAGCAUCCACUAAGAAACAUGGGGUAGCCCUGAGUGCAACUGCCCCAGUGGGGGGAGUCCCUGAACAGCACUGUGGCAAUGGGAAUAUCUCUCUGCUACAGUGACACACUAGGUAAGGCUUUAUUCCCCAAAGAGACACUAGUGAAGGCCAUUAUUCUCCCAGAAUACUGUGGAAUGAACUGAGCAUCACUAGAUUGUGCAGAUUCUUAAAUCCACUGAACAUAACCUGAAGGGAAUAAACAAUAACAAUAAAACAAACAGAAUAACACAAAAACACAAGAUAGACACUCUCUCUCCAAAUAAUCCCAGCCUCCUGACUGUCAUCACAGUCUAUUUAUCAGAGCUUCUGGGUCUUGACCAGGGCCUCAUCAAACUCUUGUUCAUUUGAUACACUUUUGGGCAAUCAGGCACAAUCGUGCACUUGAUACACUUCAAAAGAUGCACAAUCAAGCACUUGAUACAACUCCAGAGGAGUGCCUUUGAUACACUUUAAAAGAUUUAUAAUCAGGGCUGGGGUUGUGGCUCAGUGGUACAGUCCUCACCUAGCAUGGGCGAGGCCCUGGGUUUGAUCCUCAGCACCACAUAAAAAUAAAUUAAUUACUUAAAGAUAUUGUAUUCAACUAAACUAAAAAAUAAAAAUAAAUAAAUAAAUAAGGAUUUAUAAUCAGAAGUUCAGGACCUCUAAGGCUUUACAAUCAAGUCAAAUGGAGAGAACAAAUGAGAUGCCUCCCAAUACGUGAAGUUUCAUCCUCCUUCAGAAGCCUCUGGAUUUACAAAUGUGAGCCACACCAGACUGGGAUUACAUGCAUGAGCCAUAUCAAACUCUAGGAUUACAGGCAUGAGCCAUGUCAGAUGUUCAUUUAUGGGCAGAUUCAAAUUGGUCACCCCAGGAGUUCAAGACUCUCAAAAACUAGAGAGUAAGAGCACCUCUCUCUGUGUCAGAGGAUCUUGGAUUCCUAUGGCUCCAGUGAUCAUCUCACUGGGACCUUCAAAAUGUU